AGAGAGCACAAAACUUGGUCUUGCAUAUCAAGUGGAAAGCCAACAUCUUGAACAAUCUUCAAGAAGGAUCAAGGAGCUUCCAAAGGCAAACCUUGGACAAUCUUCAAGAAGGAUCAAUGAGCUUUCACCUAUGGAUUCAGGUACGCUUCCGCUUAUGUUAUUGUUCCAAAUAAUUCGAUAUGAAGGCUAAAAGUGUUAUAGUAGGAUUUAUUACAACAAUUUUAACUUUAAGUCAAACACUGUAGUUCUAGAGAAAACGAAACCCAGAUAAAUGUUGGAAUAUUUUUUUGACGAAACCCAGAUAAUAUGUGUGAAUAGAGGAAAGGGAAGAUACCAAUGCCAGGAUCAGUGUCGAUGAUGAUCUUCUUGGGUUCUGUUGCCAUUUGACACAAAUGAAUCUGAAAAUUGAACGUUAAUAGGAUUGGGGAUUGGACGCCGCAAUCCUAUGAAGAGCAAAUUGAAGAUUGAUAUGCCACCGCAAUUCCCAGAUACGAUGAAUUUUAAUUAGUAGUAGCUCUUAAAAUAAGUUAGAUAGUGUGUCGUUGUGGUAUAUGAUUUGACUCAAUAAUGGCACACUUCAAUUAAAAAUUAUCCAUUGGGCAGAGUUGGGAGGUUUCGGUUUCGUCUAAAGUCAAGAACUGAGUCACUCUUGCAUAAAGGAUACUUCCCUUUUGUGGAAAGAAAUUUUGCUCUUCUAUUGGUAUUUGUCAUGUUGAAUUGUUGUUAAAGAUCGAAAUGGAAUUGGCGAUGAUUUCUAAGGAUGUUUGGUGUGGGAAGUAAG
rnacentral:lncRNA from 1 species